GCGGGAGUAGCUCAGCUGGUAGAGCGUGUGCCUUCCAAGUACAUGGUCGCGGGUUCGAGUCCCGUCUCCCGCU
rnacentral:tRNA from 1 species